rnacentral:rRNA from 1 species
UACGAGAGGUCCAAACGUUGUUCGGAAUUACUGGGCUUACAGAGUUCGUAGGCGUCUCUACAAGUUAGGUGUGAAAGCCCUCGGCUCAACCGAGGAACUGCGCUUCAAACUGUAGAACUAGAGGGAGAUAGAGGUGAGCAGAACUGAUGGUGGAGCGGUGAAAUGCGUGGAUAUCAUCAGGAAUACCGGAGGCGAAGGCGGCUCACUGGGCAACAACUGACGCUGAGGAGCGAAAGCGUGGGGAGCGAACAGG